rnacentral:rRNA from 1 species
CCUGAGAAACCUAAAAGUUCGAAAAGAGAGAUUCAACGUCAGUAUGUAUUGUAUUCACGUGAGUAGUGAUGCAAGUUUUUGGUAAGAGGGUCAAAUCUUUUAUCGAUACUUGCACAUUUUCAUGUUAUUUUAUUGCAAUACUAUUGCCGGCGUGCACUUCUCUCUUAGUAGGACGUCCCGACCCGUUGAGUCUUGGCCUACGGCACAGAUGGUAGCCUUUAAUAUUUAUAUUAAAGACCUCUGAUGUACUCCUGGCUAAAGUACUCGACGGUAGUUUAAGAUAUGGUGUCCAGCCGCAGAAAUGCGUCCGGCCUGUCGCAAGUUUUUGACAUAUUCCGUAUUACAUAGACUUAGCGCUAUGUAGAUGGUUGUGUCGCUUUGCAUGACUGUGCUUUAGGACUGGCUUACUUCACCUGUCGGGGACGCUUAGGCUUUGGGUACUCUCAGG